rnacentral:rRNA from 1 species
UACGGAGGAUCCGAGAGUUAUCCGGAUUUAUUGGGUUUAAAGGGUGCGCAGGUUGUUUGAUAAGUCAGUGGUGAAAAACUGCCGCUCAACGGUAGUCUUGCCAUUGAUACUGUCUUUCUUGAGUAUGGAUGAGGUAGGCGGAAUGUGCAGUGUAGCGGUGAAAUGCAUAGAUAUUGCACGGAACACCAAUUGCGAAGGCAGCUUACUGGACCAUUACUGACGCUCAGGCACGAAAGCGUGGGGAUCAAACAGGA